GUGCUUGCUUCAGCAGCACAUACACUAAAAUUGGAAAGAUACAGAGAAGAUUGGCAUGGUUUCUGCCCAAGGAUGGCACGCAAAUCUGUGAAGUAUACCUUAUAGAA
rnacentral:snRNA from 1 species